rnacentral:rRNA from 1 species
AUUGAACGCUGGCGGCAGGCCUAACACAUGCAAGUCGAGCGGUAACAGGAAACAGCUUGCUGUUUCGCUGACGAGUGGCGGACGGGUGAGUAAUGUCUGGGAAACUGCCUGAUGGAGGGGGAUAACUACUGGAAACGGUAGCUAAUACCGCAUAACGUCGCAAGACCAAAGAGGGGGACCUUCGGGCCUCUUGCCAUCGGAUGUGCCCAGAUGGGAUUAGCUAGUAGGUGGGGUAACGGCUCACCUAGGCGACGAUCCCUAGCUGGUCUGAGAGGAUGACCAGCCACACUGGAACUGAGACACGGUCCAGACUCCUACGGGAGGAAGCAGUGGGGAAUAUUGCACAAUGGGCGCAAGCCUGAUGCAGCCAUGCCGCGUGUAUGAAGAAGGCCUUCGGGUUGUAAAGUACUUUCAGCGGGGAGGAAGGGAGUAAAGUUAAUACCUUUGCUCAUUGACGUUACCCGCAGAAGAAGCACCGGCUAACUCCGUG